ACUCUCCAGCUCGUGCCUGGCAACCGCCCUUGGGCCCCCAUCUGAGUGUCUGCCCCCCACCCACAGCAGUGAGUGUGCAGGGCAGUUUCAUAUCUUACUUCAUUCUGCUGAGAUAACUGCCCACUGGGGGCAUGGCCUCUAAAGUACCGCCGAGAAAACAAGAUGAGAGAGAGAUGUCAGACCUGUGUCCUGGUUUGAAGCUUCUCUUAGAUGACUCCUGCUCCCUCCCCCUUUAUGUUCACGGGCAUUUCUCCCAGUAAACUUCUCAUCUGCCUGAUUCCGUCGUGGUGUUUGGCUCUUUGAGGACCCAAAAGAAAAUCAAGAAAUAACCACAUGUCUGAGGACUUGGAGAUUCCAGAAAACCACUGGAAAGCCAAGAAAAAUCUGAGCUGCUGCACUUCCCACUGGCUCUUGCACCCCUACUCACCAAUGGCACCCAGAGUGACAAGUGGGUUCUGCCGAGGGCUGAUGUGCUUGUCAUAGGGCCGGUUUCCAUACAUGUGGGCAGCGCUGUUGACCAGCCAGGUGAUGUUGAGUGAGAUGGUAUAGCGGAGAAUGGAAGCCAAGAAGUAGGAAUUCCACAGACUCUCUCCCCAGACGCACCAGGGCACCAGCGUGGGGAUCACAAAGCACAUGAGCACCACGGUGAUCUUAUAGUACCUGGAAGGGAGAAUAGUAUGCUAUCAUUGGGCACCUGUUGAUGGUGGCAGGAAUAGGCUGAGCAAGCUGCAGGAAAAGUCAGGAAUUAUGCCAGUCAUCUCCUUCUACUAUUUCUGUAUAAGGAAUACCCUGUUGUGUGUCACUUUGUACAGGGGUCACAGACCCAUAUAUCUACAAGGCUAAACAGGUAACCCAAACUUGAGUGAGGCUGGGUAGAAUGAAUGCUGUGGGAAGUGGGAGGGCCUGUGGCACACUUCAGAGACACUUCGAUAUCAAACAAUCAAAGUAGUGCUGGUGAAACCUAUGUAGCUCAGAGUACAUUUCUCCUACAGGUGACUGGUUUGACAGCUUCUAGCUACUUCUUUCACUUAUCAAUCAACUUGAUCAGUUUUUCUCAAAUGAUUUCAAGAAAUAUAUAUUUCUUGAAUAAUUUCCAGACACAUGAUUCUGUACUAACUUAGCUUGGUAAAAAAGUAAACAAUCCAAUCCCCUCACAAAAAAGUUCUCUGUUCAUUGCAGAUUACAUCCCAAGCCAGCAUAAAAAACAAAGUCUAGGAACAGACUGUAAGACAGUAAGUCUAGGAACAAGCAUGGCCACAUGAAAAGUAAUCUUUACAAAGAAAUCAGCAGUUGUUUGAUUUCCAGACCCAUGUAUCCAGCAAAUAUUUACCGAGCACUUACUGUAUGCCAGGCCAUGAGUGCUGGUGAUACAAAGACAAAUUUGACACGGUCCCCACCCCAGGCUUCAGUCAAGUGGAACCACUGUUCCCCACUCUGUGGCCAUGUGGAACCAGCCCUAUGCAGGGACAGGAAAGGGGCUGUGCUAUGGAUUCAUAGCUCUCUCCUCCCUGGCCUCACACUGGCUAAUCAAGCUUUCCAAAGGCCUCUGUUAAGAUGCAUAGGUACGAAAUGAGAGGUGGCACAGUGUGGGAAUGAUAUUCAGAAGGUAGAAGACUUGAACUUGAGUCUAGAUCUGAUUCUGGGUGUUGAACUAGCCAUUAGCUUUCUUUCACCCUCCUCUUGUGCACAGUUAGCCAGUUCUCCAAAGAGCAGAGGAUGAGGCAAGGGCGUGUAUGUGGGUAGUCUAUUUUGGGAAGUGUGAGACAGGGAAGGAGGGAAUGCCAAGCCACGGGUGCCCCAUGCUUUGGACCCCUGAACUAGGACCUUGAUGGGACAGAUUACAGCUCAGAUUUAUUCUCCCAAGGAAUGAAAGAAGGGGCUAUUUUCUCAUUGUUUCAAACUCCCUCCUGGUCAAGGAAUGUCACUUAGAAUAUUAGCUUCCUCACACUUCCAAGUUUGCUUGGGCCAGGUUCGCUGACCAUUUCUGGAAGCAUCUCAGGUAGGGGUGGCAAAGAAACCAGGCAGGAAGUAAGAAAUAAGUAGUCCAGUGGAGCACGGUGCUGUUGGGUUAUACCUGAGUCAGCAGGUGGCUACAGCAACAGCUGGAGUGAAAAGAAGGGCAGAGAGUAGGAGGUAGGGUACGAGAGGGGUCCAACACAGGUGGUGAUUACAAUACCUCCAGGGGUUCUUGUGAGGCUCUAAUACAUAAUGCAUACUAUGUGCAUAUUAUAUAUCAUGGAUAUUCUGAGACCUUUCCAUGUACGGCUCAUUUUAUUCUAAUAAAAGGUCUAGGAGAAAGUGACCAUUAUUAUCACCAUUUUACAGAGCAAUGGAAAGGUUAUGUAGUUGGGCCAAGGUCACAAGACUAAGAAGUAGUAGGACCACGAUUCAGAUCCAGGCAGAAUCACUUCAGAGACUAUCAUCUAUUUAAAUGCAGCCAUCUUGUAUCCCAGUGACUUGGAAAUGGGUGUUGAUGGGUUCACCUGUUGCCCAAUUAAAAAAAAAAUUAUGGAAACUGACACUUAUGCGCAGCUAUCAAUCUGCAAAACACACUUACAUACAUGAUUUGCAAAUGAAGUCAUUUAAGUGGAAAGAUGGUGCUUGCGAGGUCAGAUGAGUGGGCUGUGGCUGGAGGGGCAAAGGCAACAGACAAUGAGGGACUGGUGGUCUUACACUGCACUCCCUAGAGUCACGUGUGGAAGGCUUUUGGAGAGUGCUCUUUAAAAAAAGGACACCUGGGUGGCUCAGCGGUUGAACGCCUGCCUUCAGCCCAGGGCAUGAUCCCAGGAUCCGGGAUCCAGUCCCACGUUGGGCUCCCUGCAUGGAGCCUGC